rnacentral:rRNA from 1 species
AGAGUUUGAUCCUGGCUCAGGACGAACGCUGGCGGCGUGCCUAAUACAUGCAAGUCGAGCGGACCGAUGGGAGCUUGCUCCCUUAGGUCAGCGGCGGACGGGUGAGUAACACGUGGGUAACCUGCCUGUAAGACUGGGAUAACUCCGGGAAACCGGGGCUAAUACCGGAUGCUUGAUUGAACCGCAUGGUUCAAUCAUAAAAGGUGGCUUUUAGCUACCACUUACAGAUGGACCCGCGGCGCAUUAGCUAGUUGGUGAGGUAACGGCUCACCAAGGCGACGAUGCGUAGCCGACCUGAGAGGGUGAUCGGCCACACUGGGACUGAGACACGGCCCAGACUCCUACGGGAGGCAGCAGUAGGGAAUCUUCCGCAAUGGACGAAAGUCUGACGGAGCAACGCCGCGUGAGUGAUGAAGGUUUUCGGAUCGUAAAACUCUGUUGUUAGGGAAGAACAAGUACCGUUCGAAUAGGGCGGUACCUUGACGGUACCUAACCAGAAAGCCACGGCUAACUACGUG